rnacentral:rRNA from 1 species
GAACAUAAGAGUUUGAUCCUGGCUCAGAUUGAACGCUGGCGGCAUGCUUUACACAUGCAAGUCGGACGGCAGCACAGAGAAGCUUGCUUCUUGGGUGGCGAGUGGCGAACGGGUGAGUAACAUAUCGGAACGUACCGAGUAGUGGGGGAUAACUGAUCGAAAGAUCAGC